AUCGACGACUCAGCUGCACCAUAAGCACCCACACGAAUUGCUUGAUUCAUUGAAGAAGACGAUGAGAAGCAGCUUUUGCUUUGCACACCCGAUUUUGGGUCUGUAGCUCAGUUGGUUAGAGCGCACCCCUGAUAAGGGUGAGGUCGGCAGUUCGAAUCUGCCCAGACCCACCAGUUACCUGGUGAAGUUGGUCAGAGCGCGUACGACACCCGGAUACGGGGCCAUAGCUCAGCUGGGAGAGCGCCUGCCUUGCACGCAGGAGGUCAGCGGUUCGAUCCCGCUUGGCUCCACCACUUACUGCUUCUGUUUGAAAGCUUAGAAAUGAGCAUUCCACCCUGAGAGAUUGAAGGGUGCGUGAAUGUUGAUUUCUAGUCUUUGAUUAGAUCGUUCUUUAAAAAUUUGGGUAUGUGAUAGAAAGAAAGAUAGACC
rnacentral:tRNA from 1 species